rnacentral:sRNA from 1 species
CAGGGCAGCCCACUAUGCUAAGACACUAGAACGUACAUCAAGAAGCAUCCAAUUCUGAUUUUUCCCUCAGAGGGCUUCCAUUUAAAGAGGAACUAAGGUGCAUAAGCAGAUAAGGAUAUUAAUGCACACGCCUGUGUUACUGGUAAACCCAUCAGCCAAGGGGGAAUCCAUGGACGCAUCUCUGCUACUGGCCGUGGUGUCUUCCAUGGGAUUGAAAAUUUCAUCAAUGAAGCUUCUUACAUGAGCAUUUUAGGAAUGACACCAGGGUUUGGAGAUAAAACAUUUGUUGUUCAGGGAUUUGGUAAUGUGGGCCUACACUCUAUGAGAUAUUUACAUCGUUUUGGUGCUAAAUGUAUUGCUGUUGGUGAGUCUGAGGGGAGUAUAUGGAAUCCAG